AUCAAAUUAGACACAAUUUUUAGUAUUUGUUUCAUUUGAUAUAUGAUAUAAGAAAACUAAUUUUUAGUAUAAGCAAACUAUUUCAAGGUAGAAAAAAAAUUAAAAUAUCAUUUUAAUAAUAAUUAUUAAUUAAUUAAAAUUUUUUAAUAAAAAAACUAUUAAUAAUAAUACAGUAGAACCUCUAUUUAAGAAUACUCUAUUCAAGAAUAACUUCUAAUUUGUUAUAAAAAAAUGAAGUCCCAAUUUGGGCCAGUUGUAAAUAAGAAUAACCUCUAUAUUGUAAUUAGUUAUACAUUUUUUAAGUCCCGUAUUAAUAAAAUAUACCUCUAUAUAAGAAUAAUUACAUCUUAAAAAAAAUAUAUACAUAUAUUUUUUAAAUUUAUUUACGUAGAAUUAAUAAUUUUAUUUCAAAUUAUAGUACAUGUAUAAAUAUUAUAUGUACUCGAAAAUAAUUCUAAUAUAAUAUAGUAUUAAGAAUUGUUUAUUGGUAUUUUUGUUACAUUGAUAUUUUUUGAUAUUUUGAUUUUUUUUUCAAGUGUAACUCUAUUUAGUUAUAACCUCUCAAUUAGAAUAUUAUUUUUUUGGUCCCAAGUGUAUUCUUAAAUAGAGGUUCUACUGUAUUAUAAUUAAAAAAAACUAUAUGUAUAUCAAAAUCUCAUUAAUGAUAAAUAAAAAAAUUGUAAUUAAAGAAAAAUACUAAAAUGUAUCAUUAAGGUGUUAUAUCGUUAUUAAUAAAAUCUAGUAUCUAGUCUCAGUCUCACAUAAUUUAAUUUAAUAAUUAUUAUUAAAUAAAACUAAUUAAUUAUAAAAUGUGAUCCAGUAGUACUCUUAGGAACCUAUAAAACUUAAUAGCAAUAUCCAUAAUUAAAAUUAGCAUUUAUUAUGUAUCAAAGACACAUUCUUAAUAUAAUAUAUAUAAAUAUAUAUAUAUUAUAUGCUCUAGUGUUAUAGGAGAAACAAAAAAAAAAAAGCAACCAUAGUUUUUUGUAUUUUAUGCAAUUUAUAUAAAUGAUAUUAGGUGCUUUUACAAUGCACCCCUCAGAAAGAAUGUACUGAUGUAUCAUUUAUUUGUUUCGAUAUUUUAAAAAAAAUUAGGUCCAAUUUUUUUCAUAUUCGUGCACAUUUAUAAUUAUUUAAGAUAUUUUACAAAAUUUUAAAAAAUUUAAAAAUAAUUUAUAAUAUAGAAAUUAGUGUUCAAAUAGUCUAUUUCACAUGCUUAUAAGAAAAUAUAGUCAUACGUGCAACACAAUGUUUGAACAGGGUGUUGAAUUUUUCUAAAUUUUUAAAAAUUUUGUAGGAUAUAUGUUUGAAAUAAUUAUAACACCAGAAUUUUCCCUACUGGCAAAAUCGGUGGACCGAUUUUACAACACCAGUAAAACCGGUUAACCGGUUUCUCUACUGGCAGAAACGGGAAAAACUGGUUUUCACCCAAAAACCACACAAAUCAGCUCCAAACCUGUCCAAACUUACCAGAGCAGUUCAAUACCAUAAAUACAAUGUAUCCAAAGCACUAAUUCACAAUAAUUUUUCCACUUUCUCAAAACUACAUUCUCAAAUGGAAAUUAAGCUCAAUAUACUUCACCAAUCAUAUCAAAUCCAAACAGCCCUUAUAUCUAACCUCCACAAGUUUAAACAAACUCAUAAAUUAACUUAGAAACAUACUCUAAUCCUAUCUUAACACCACAGCCCCAAAAACUCCUAAAACACUAGCUUAAACCAAUCUAAAACUUCAAAAAAACAAAGAAAAAAGUGUUGAAUACUUACCUUAGUGUACAAUUGACUCCAACUCACAACUAAUUCAGCCAAGAAGAAGAUGAAUUGUAAGAGAAUCCUUAGGCUGCAGCUCCCCUAGGGUUCGGCCAAGCAUAAGAAGCAAAACCACCAAUGCUUCUAACAAAGCUAACCCCCUUUUUACUAACCAAAUUUUCUAUUUUUUUUUUAAAAGCAGCCACUAAUAUAAAUAUAUAAUAUCUAAAUCAUAAAGACCAUUAUACCCCUUUAAUCUUAAAUUAAACCUAGGGUAUUUUAGUAAUUCUAGCUAAUCCGCCACACCGAUUUUCUAAAAAUUAAUCUAGAAUAUUUCCAAAAUAAUCCAUCCCUAAAUGUCGUGACAUUUCGGAUCACACCGUCCAGUUCCACAGUCACCAAGCCCAAAAAUAUUUUAUUUCAGAAAUGGUAUCCAUGAUACUCACAUAUUCUAAAAUAAUCUCCGUAAUUAAUUAAUUACGCUUUACUUAAUCAUUUAAUAAAUUAUAGUUGUGUACAAUCAACUAUAAUAUUGUAGCUAGGUUGUGGAUUUAAUUAGCAAGGAUUCAUUUUACAAAUUGAAGUGAAGUUUGUUUGGUGGUUUAUCAAAAGAGGUGUGUACAAUCACUCAUUUCUUUACUUAACGACAUAAUAUUUUUCAUCUUAGAAUAGUUUGAAUAUCUUAAAUAUUCAUCCAUAGUGAAGUAGGUUCUCAAAAAUUUGUGUGUUGCGGAGAUAUAAGAAGGAAACUUAUUGUGUGAUAUUUGUAGAUAUAAUAGGUGUUGGGAUUGUACCCUAAAUAAAACUCUAUUUCAAUUGAAUUUUUACCAUUCAAUUAUCAAUAAAGAAACAGAAGUAUUUUCAUCACUUACUUAGUAUGUCAUUUGGUUCAUGUGAUCAUUUAUAUGUUUAUUUGAUUUAUAAAUUCUUUUAAAUCCUUAUCACGUUGAUGUUCUUGUUUAUUGAGUCGUCAGCACAGUGGAAAGUAAUCAAGAUUAUGUGAUUAAAUGUAUUCCUAGAUUUAUCAGUACACAGGGUUUAACUGAUAUGAUAAUCUACAACAUAGUUUACUUGCACCUUGGAUAAGUGCUAUGUCCCUUCCAGGGCAUUGGUUAAAGUAAAGCUUGGGUUGGAUGCAUGGAGUAUGCAUUGGAAGGGACCGAUAUUGAACUUGGAUUAGAUAUGAUAAAUUUACCGUAAUAUCUAUUCAAUUCAAUAUCACCUAGUUGAUCCUAAAUCAAAUGAUCUUAAUCCUGACAUGGUUAGGUUCGAUCUCAAGAGUGUUAUUUAUGUUCUUUGAUUUGUUAGUUAAGCCUACCUUUUGGUCUGGGUGCAGUGGCAGACCCUGAAUUUAAUUGGAGGGUGGGCGUAAAUUUUUUUCAUUUAUAAAAUAUUCUAAAAAAAAACAAGUAUAUAUAAAGAAAAACACAAUUCAAUAUUUCAAUUCCCAACUAAAAAGAUAUUAAAUAUCACGCACUAAAAAUCUUCUAAAAGAAACAAAAAAAAAAGCAAUCUAAAACGAUGUUCAAAAUAUAUAACAUACUCAAUAUCUUAAAAUUUUAGCAAAUAUAUCAAUUUUUGAGCUCAUAUCUAGAGUUGUCCUUGACGAGUUUUCAUGUUUUGGAAAAACGAUGAAUGAUAAGCUCGUUGUCAAUAGCAUUGAAUACAUCCUUUUCGAGAUAUGCUGUCAAAAUAUCAUUCAACUAUUGAUCUCCCGUUUUGUUGCGCAUUUGUUGUGCGUAAUUAAAAUAAUUAAAAGAUUUUUUUUUUAGUUAAGAAGUAAAAGAAAUAUUUUUUUUCAGCAUGGGCUUAAUCCACACUCGUCCUUAAUUGGGUCCGACAGUGUCUGGGUGAUACGUACAUUUUGGGAACAUGGUAGUACAAUUGAGUGGGAGCGCUAAUCAAAGAUAUGGAAUCUAUAGCUUCUAUCUGGACAUAGAAGUGAAACGAUGAUUUCCUUCCAGCUUGGCUAAAUAGAGAUAAAUGGUUGAGUACUCAUUUCAGUGAUUAUGUUAAUUCACUGAAAUAUCAUUUAUAGGUGGCUAAGUGUUUUAAGGAUAAAAUAAAUUGAAGGGUGUAACGAUAAAUUAAUCUCUAAGAAUGUAAAUUAUCUAUAAAAGAUCAUUGAUUAUUGAGAUUAUAACAAUGAAUAAUUAAUAGCGUAUCUAUAUCAUGGAACAUAUAGAGCGCUCUAUGUAACUGAGAGUGCAAUUCCAAAUUCUAUGGUGGAUGCAAUGAGGAAUUAAUAAGUUAGUGGAUUUACUUGGUAAAUUCUAGAUGUGCUUAUUGGAAGUUCGGUUAUAUAGGCCCAUGGUCCCCAUACUAGUUGAGACAAUACUUUUUGUAAGACUCAGUCAAUUGAUUUUAAUUAAUCAAUUAUAAUUCUAAAAAAUCAGACUAUGUUUAGUAUGAAUUUUCACUAAGCUAGGGCUUAAUUGUGAAGAAAGAGAUUCUAGAGUUUAUUUGUUAAUUAAGAGACUUUAUUAAGUCUAAUUAAUAAAUGUAUUAAAUGGAAAUAUUAUUUAAUAAUUAAUUUUUAAUUAUUAAAUAAUUAGUUUUGGCAUUUAAGUGGUUGAAUUGGAAAACUAGUAUUUUUUAAGAAAAUAAGAUAAAUAGUUGAAAAAAUGUCAAAAUUGCAAAGUGGGGCCCAUAUCCAUUGCCGGCCACUUAAGGGCUAAUUUACCAUUUAUUUUUUUCAAUAUUUUAAUGUCAAAUAAUUCUAACCUAACCCUAGUUGGAUUCCUAUAAAUAGGUAGUGAUGGCCUCAAAGAAAAAGAUGAUGAAAACACUUUUCUUGAGUCAAAAACUUGAGCCAUCUUCUCUACUAAUUUCGAAUCCUUCUCUCUCUCUUUCUCUCUUCAAUUUCGAAUCCUAUAGUUAUAGAGUAAGUGCCCACACACAUCAAGUGGUACUCAGUAAGGCUGUGAAGAAUCCAAAUUUAAGAGAAGGAGAAUCGGGCUCAGAUCUUGGUGAUACUCUGCUACAGAAAGGAUACAAGGGUUAGAGAUCUGAGCGGAAGGAGUCAUUUAAUUCCGCUGCUACCACUGGUCCUAAUUAAACAACCUGACGGUAAAGCCUGUGGUUUUUACAUCAUGCGACUAAUGAGAGACUUAACUAUGUCGAACGAUCCAAAAGAUUAUCUUGUGAAGCAUGCAAGUGUUUGAGCUAUCGUACCUUUACAAUAAUUUAAAUUUUGAUUCAUAAAGAAACUAGUAUAUAUAUAAAAUUUGACUGAUUUUUAUAUUGUAGUGUUAUGUUCAGAAAACAUACUCAAUGGAUGAGAUCAAGAAGUGCUCGAAGAAUGAGUCUCCAAUUUAACUGAGUAUAUAUCAUGAUUUAGAUUAAAAUUUAUUAAGUAUAUAUGACUAAUCAUAAUUAUUGUCAAACUUUUGAACUAAUUACAAUAUAUAUUAUUAUAUAAUACUUUAUUCUAUUAAGAGAUGAAUUACAUACAUCUAUUUAAA